rnacentral:misc_RNA from 1 species
GAUGAAGAACGUAGCGAAAUGCGAUAAGUAAUGUGAAUUGCAGAAUUCCGUGAAUCAUCGAAUCUUUGAACGCACAUUGCGCCCUCUAGUAUUCCGGGGGGCAUGCCUGUCCGAGCGUCAUUUGCAACCCUCAAGCCCGGCUUGUGUGAUGGGUGCCGUCCCCUACGGGACGCGCCCCGAAGGCAAUGGCGGCGUCGCGGUUAUCCGAUCAGCCAAAGUGUAUGGGGCUUUGUCACUCACUUUACGGCCCGGACCGGCGCCAGUCCGAAUCAAUCUUUUUUCUAAAGUUGACCUCGGAUCAGGUAGGGAUACCCGCUGAACUUAAGCAUAUCAAUAAGCGGAGGA